UUGAACGCUGGCGGCAUGCUUUACACAUGCAAGUCGAACGGCAGCGCGGGGCAACCUGGCGGCGAGUGGCGAACGGGUGAGUAAUAUAUCGGAACGUACCCAGAAGUGGGGGAUAACGUAGCGAAAGUUACGCUAAUACCGCAUACGGUCUACGGAUGAAAGUGGGGGACCUUCGGGCCUCAUGCUUUUGGAGCGGCCGAUAUCUGAUUAGCUAGUUGGUGAGGUAAAGGCUCACCAAGGCGACGAUCAGUAGCUGGUCUGAGAGGACGACCAGCCACACUGGAACUGAGACACGGUCCAGACUCCUACGGGAGGCAGCAGUGGGGAAUUUUGGACAAUGGGCGCAAGCCUGAUCCAGCAAUGCCGCGUGAGUGAAGAAGGCCUUCGGGUUGUAAAGCUCUUUUGUCAGGGAAGAAACGGCUGAGGUUAAUACCUUCGGCUAAUGACGGUACCUGAAGAAUAAGCACCGGCUAACUACGU
rnacentral:rRNA from 1 species